GUUGAGGAGGACUUAGAAGAACUCACAAAGUUUGAGCCAGGUAAAAAAAUAUAGUUAUCGAAUAUUUAUACCUUUCUAUAUUUCAAUGGAUACCUUAGUUCUCAUUUUCAUCAUAAAUUUAAUGCAAAGUUGCCAACUACGACCGUUGAGCCAAACUUGACAUCGAUGUCUCUUGGUGAUUGACGAAUUCCCAUGGAUGUAGGA